rnacentral:hammerhead_ribozyme from 1 species
AUCCAGGUGACGAGUCCCAAACAGGACGAAAUGUGCAUCCUGGAU